rnacentral:misc_RNA from 1 species
AAUCCGAGAAUUUCACCUCCAACAAUUGAAUACGAAUGCCCCCAACUAUCCCUAUUAAUCAUUACGGCGAUUCUAGAAACCAACAAAAUAGAACCGCACGUCCUAUUUUAUUAUUCCAUGCUAAUGUAUUCGGGCGUAAGCCUGCUUUGAACACUCUAAUUUUUUCAAAGUAAAAAUCAUGGUUCCCGACCACACCCAGUAAAGAGCAUGGCCGUUCACCACGAGGUAAGCCUCCACCGCUCCAGUACACACCCAUAGGGCGGACCGGGCGGCAAAGGCCGAAGUUCGACUACGAGCUUUUUAACGGCAACAACUUUAAUAUACGCUAUUGGAGCUGGAAUUACCGCA